UCCCUAGCAGCGAGGGCGACGAUAUCAGAACAAGAGACGACCCUUCCACACUUCUUGUGAACGCGGUCGCGGAGGUCAUUGAUGAUCUCAAAGGCCUUCGCCCUCAAGCUUAGGUUGGGAGGUGCAUCCUGCUCACUUGGUCCGCUGGCUGAUCCCUCAAGCAACACAGAUCCAUCACAACCCUGCAUUAAUCAUUUUCUCAAUUUAAUUAGUCGAUCUUAUAUUUUCUGUGACGGCUUCUAAAAUGGUUACAAGUAUUUUCUAACUAUCUUCCAACUACGUUUAUAAGAGAAAACAUUUACGAAUCAUAAAAAGUGUUUAUGGACAAACCCAUGUGUUCUUCAGAAAGCACCUUUGAAUAUUUUCAAUUUUUUUAAAAUAAUUUAAAUUACUCCCAUUAAGCUUACCAAAUGACAUUGUACUAUAUAAUAAUUUAAUUAUCUCUAAAAGUAGAAUAUCAUAGUAUACAAAAAGUUGGAUAAACUUCAAGGAAUAAAACCUUAGUUACCGCUAAAGACAAUAAAACAGCUGACACAAAGCAAUCGUGAAACUAAAGGGCCGAUAAUAGCUCUCAAAAUCGACACUGAACCAAAAACUGUAUAAUCUUUGCUAAAUGUUACCUGAACAAAACAAUCGUGGAAAUGGAGACGGAGCAAGCCAGCAGCUUGGCCAAUGUCCGCUUUGAAGACUUUCUUAAGCUGCUUUCGGACUAUGUCGUCAACCUUAGGGCAGCUAGACUCAUAGAAGUUCCAUGAAAGUCCUUGAACCACGGGGGCAGAGGACUGUGCCUCCGAG
rnacentral:lncRNA from 1 species